rnacentral:siRNA from 1 species
GUUGCGCCCCCAAUGCCUCUA